rnacentral:piRNA from 1 species
UGUGCAGUUUUUCGAAACUUA